AGAUCUUCUGCGAAGUCGGGUACCCUGCUCCUCCUUCGGCUCCGCCCACGCCGCCUGUGCUGACCAAUCAGAUCUAUGGAAACACACCAGAGGAGAGACGGCGGCCAACACCUGAGACAUCCAGCUGGGCUGCAUGUAGGAGUAACACUGCACACAGAGAGAAGCACCGUCAACACCAGAACCAGAACCGGGUUAAACCAAACAGCAGGAGCUGACUGUCAGAGAUCCAACUGGAUCGUAACCACGAAUACGUUACUUUUUUUUUUUUCAAAGAAUGUUUUGUUUUUUUUGUGUGUGCAAAUUUGCUGUAUUAAAGGAAACAUCUAGUUUCCAAAUUCUUUUGAAGUCAACUGGACAAAUUUUUAUUUUCAGUUAUAAGAACAGGUUUUGUGUCACUUCCUUUCAAAACAUUCACUAUAUUUAGUAAAGUUUAAUAAAAUAAAUAAAAGCCGAUCUGGAUGCCCA